UCCCCUGUAGUUCAGUCGGUAGAACGGCGGACUGUUAAUCCGUAUGUCACUGGUCGGCGGACUGUUAAUCCGUAUGUCACUGGUUCAAGUCCAGUCAGGGGAGCCA
rnacentral:tRNA from 1 species